ACCACUCACCACCACUUUUUAAACCCAUUCUCCAAUAUUGUACGUAACCCCAUUUUGCAAUUGCAUUUUCAAAACCUAUUUUCACGUAAAAUAGUGAAGAAGAAUUUAAAGAAUUUACAUCCUACAAUAACCACUUCUCCAUCUCACGAUCGACAACCCACACCUAAUCGGAAUACAUUUCAAGUUCAAUAUCCGACAAUUCAUAUUUGGCUCCAACUUCAAAUUGAGGAGUGCCUGAAGGGUACAUCGAUGCCGUCUUCUUGUAAAAGAGUUGCAUCAGAGGUGCCCUCAAAUGCUAUCAAUCCAAUUGAAAAUGAAGAAGUGGUGGUGACAAAGAAGCAACGCUCGAUGCAAAUUUGAGUAUCGUCUACUUUGAAUCGAACUCCAUACAUUAGGAGCAGUAAAAAGAGAGGACAAUAUGAAAUAAUUGAAAUUUGUUUAACGGAAAACGAUGUCGUCCAUUUUUGAAAGGUUAAGAAUAGUGGACCUGUUCGGGUUAUGAAACUUAAGUAUAUAAUCUUUGUACUUUGAUCAUGGAAAAUGUUGUGUAACUUAUUUUAAUAUUUGUGUAGUAUACGAAAAUAUAAUUGUUUAGCCAGUUGUAUAGCUUGAUUUUGUAACUGUUA